rnacentral:rRNA from 1 species
CAGCAGCCGCGGUAAUACGUAGGUGGCAAGCAUUGUCCGGAAUUAUUGGGCGUAAAGGGCUCGCAGGCGGUUUCUUAAGUCUGAUGUGAAAGCCCCCGGCUCAACCGGGGAGGGUCAUUGGAAACUGGGAAACUUGAGUGCAGAAGAGGAGAGUGGAAUUCCACGCAUAGCGGUGAAAUGCGUAGAGAUGUGGAGGAACACCAGUGGCGAAGGCGACUCUCUGGUCUGUAACUGACGCUGAGGAGCGAAAGCGUGGGGAGCGAACAGGAUUAGAUACCCCUGUAGUCCCUGUCUCUUAUAC